ACUUUCUAGAUAUAUGCUAUGGUAAAUAGCCUUCUUUGGCUACAUAAAAUAGUUCAUUAUUUUAGUUAGUGCCUCCUUAGAAGAUGUUGAUAAUGAGGUGUAGUAAAUCUAUCUCUACAGCUAAUGUUAUGAGAUGGGCCUUUGAACAAAGCUUUAAUUUUCUUCUAUUUGGAAAUUUGACCAUUUAAUCCUCAUGUCCAAGAUUGUGAGGUGAUUAGGAAAAAGAAGACAUACUUUCUAUGCUAUAUAAAACUUUUGAAAUUCAUGGCACAGUAGUGGAGAAGUUCCAAACUAUUUUCUUAACUUUCGUUCCAAGUUUUAAAUAGCGUCAAUCAGUGAGAAGUUUCCUUGAUGUUUCUUCUAUAUUUUUGUAUCAAUUAUUGUAACUUUAUUUGAGAUGUAAGGCAAUAUGUUGUAUCUGUUUGUUCUUCUCUGAUUUUUAUUUUAAGAUUGCUUUUCAGGUUCUAUUUAUUUUACAUGCUUCUUUAACGAUUUGCAGGCAUUUCCUUCUCUACAUAUAUGGAGCAGUUACCAUUGGGCUGAAACUUGCUGGACAAUUAAAAGAAUUAAGAGUUAUAUAUAUUCUAACUGUUUAUUAUGGUGUAGAAAAUAGUUUUCUAAGUUUAGCUCCACAUGUUGUACAGGGGACAAGAACGAGGCACUCCAUACAUAUAGCAGAACUCUUGCAAAGGUCUAUUUCUACCCUCUUUUGUGAAACUUUAUUUCUUCUGCCGUCGCACCGCCAGAGCCAUUAUUGGGUGGAAAGGCCAAGCCUUUGAGGCAACCCGAAGUCCAAGAAGAAUGGGUACGGUUAGGUCUAUUUUUCCCUUUAUUGAAAUCCUAUGAAUUUAGACUUAACUGAGCCUUUUAAACAUGAAUAAACUCAUGAUUAAUAAUAUAUCUAUUCCCGUGCGGUAGCACGGGUUACAUA